rnacentral:pre_miRNA from 1 species
UCUCAAAGAGAGCAAUCCGUGGACAGUGUGCGGAAUCAAACUACGACUGUCAUGGAGUCGCUCUCUUUAAGGCG